rnacentral:rRNA from 1 species
UACGUAGGGAGCGAGCGUUGUCCGAAGUUACUGGGCGUAAAGCGCGCGUAGGCGGGUUUGAAAGUCGGAGGUGAAAUGCUGGGGCUCAACUCAGAGAUGCCACCCGAUACUGCCGUGACUUGAGUCCGGUAGGGGAGCACGGAAUUCCUGGUGUAGCGGUGAAAUGCGCAGAUAUCAGGAGGAACACCGGUGGCGAAGGCGGUGCUCUGGGCCGGUACUGACGCUGAGGAGCGAAAGCGUGGGUAGCAAACAGG